GGGCCGCUAGCUCAAUUGGUAGAGCAAAUGACUCUUAAUCAUUAGGUUACAGGUUCGAGUCCUGUGCGGCUCAC
rnacentral:tRNA from 1 species